rnacentral:rRNA from 1 species
GAUGAACGCUGGCGGCGUGCCUAAUACAUGCAAGUCGAGCGAACAGAUGAGGGGCUUGCUCCUCUGACGUUAGCGGCACACGGGUGAGUAACACGUGGAUAACCUACCUAUAAGACUGGGAUACCUUCGGGAAACCGGAGCUAAUACCGGAUAAUAUAUUGAACCACAUGGUUCAAUAGUGAAAGACGGUUUUGCUGUCACUUAUAGAUGGAUCCGCGACCCAUUAGCUAGUUGGUAAGGUAACGGCUUACCAAGGCAACGAUCCGUAGCCGACCGGAGAGGGUGAUCGGCCACACUGGAACUGAGACACGGUCCAGACUCCUACGGGAGGCAGCAGUAGGGAAUCUUCCGCAAUGGGCGAAAGCCUGACGGAGCAACGCCGCGUGAGUGAUGAAGGUCUUCGGAUCGUAAAACACUGUUAUUAGGGAAGAACAAAUGUGUAAGUAACUAUGCACGUGUUGACGGUACCUAAUCAGAAAGCCACGGCUAACUACGUG